rnacentral:lncRNA from 1 species
UUCACAAUGGCGAUCACAAGUCAUCGUCAGGCGACUGGGGUUCAAAUGGAGAAUGGGGUUCAUUAUUGGCAAACAAGAUGCCGGGGUUCAAAUGCGGUGAUCCGGGAUCAUUCGCGCGAAAGAAAAUUUGUCCGGGGUUCAAGAAAAGAAAAAAGGAAAUCGUAAAGUUCCGAGGUUCAAGAAAAGCAAAAAAAAAAGAAAAAUAAUAAUCCUGUCGCAUCCGCGAAAAAAACAACCGGCGGGCUAAAACAAAAAC